AACGACUCUCGGCAACGGAUAUCUCGGCUCUCGCAUCAAUGAAGAACGUAGCGAAAUGCGAUACUUGGUGUGAAUUGCAGAAUCCCGUGAACCAUCGAGUCUUUGAACGCAAGUUGCGCCCCAAGCCUUCUGGCCGAGGGCACGUCUGCCUGGGUGUCACGCA
rnacentral:rRNA from 1 species